rnacentral:rRNA from 1 species
AUACGGAGGGGGCUAGCGUUGUUCGGAAUUACUGGGCGUAAAGCGCACGUAGGCGGAUUAAAAAGUUAGAGGUGAAAUCCCAGGGCUUAACCCUGGAACUGCCUUUAAAACUAGUAGUCUAGAGUUCGAGAGAGGUGAGUGGAAUUCCAAGUGUAGAGGUGAAAUUCGUAGAUAUUUGGAGGAACACCAGUGGCGAAGGCGGCUCACUGGCUCGAUACUGACGCUGAGGUGCGAAAGCGUGGGGAGCAACCAGGAUUAGAUACCCCAGUAGUCC